GCUGUUAGAGUGGUAGACCUGGGACCCCUAUCUUUAUCAGUGUAGGGGACUCUGGAGAGUCACAGACCAAGGUCUCUAAGCUUGGUGGGCAAUACAGAGUUCUGUGUGCUCACUGUAAAGGCAGACCAACAAGAAAUUCUUCCUGCUUUUCAACUACCUCUUUCACAGACAUGAUUCUUCCUGGUUGCCAGGAAGAAACUGGGGUAACUGGCAUGAGAGGAUAGGGGCAGGGCAUGUUCAUGGUAUCAGGGUCGAGAGUCUCAAAGGACUGGCUUAUACUGUGGCCACUGAGAGAUGCCCACAGAUCUGGUAAUCGGGCGGCU